UUAUGUGUCAUUCGACUGCGCUCUCAGACGUUCAUUUACCAAUUCAUGAAGGGUUUUGCGAGGUGCUGCCGGCAGGCUGACCCUUCCCGCGGACGGGAAAGCGCUGCCGAAGCAACAGAGGUUUUCACAGUGGGUAAACUGUCAACGGCCGCAGGGGAGAUCCCCGCCGCCGCAUUCCAGCCUAGGCCGCGAGGCCAGUGUUUUGUAAUGAUCCUUCCGCAGGUUCACCUACGGAAA
rnacentral:misc_RNA from 1 species